rnacentral:snRNA from 1 species
GUGCUCACUUCGGCAGCACAUAUACUAAAACUGGAACGAUACAGAGAAGAUUACCAUGGCCCCUGCGCAAGAAUGACAUGCAAAUUCGUGAAGCGUUUCAUAUUUUU